CCCCACUUCUAUAAUCCACCCCAAAGAGUACAAACAGUCAGAGAAGCCCUCCUUUUACAGGUACCUUAGAUCCCCUGUCUGUUUCCUGUGCUACCUAAGGAGCCUGUGUGGGAGGAAGCGCCAGGCAUCAGUAUGUCAAUUGCAUCAAGACCUGGAGCCCAAUCAGUCAUUCGUGCAGCCAUUAAAUGGAAGCCAAACUUCCCAAGUCACUGAUUGCAAACAAGGUCAGAAGACUACCCGCACCUGUCUAUAAGCCAAGUUACAGCUUGGGGCACUGUUGGGAGGAUUCACAUUCAUGUCAACAACUGCAGAUCACCAUUCUAGGAUUUCUUUGUCUGGAUUUCACUGUCCUCCUUCUCCCCUGAGCCUGCAUUUAACUGAACAUCCAGACUCCCAGUCACCAUAGGAAUUUUUAAACUGCUUUCUGGCUCUCCUUCUCAGAUUUCUUUUUUAAUUUGUUCGCUUUGGUUUGGCCCCUGAUCAUGACUUCAUACUCAUUUUUCUUUAAUUGAAGUAUAGUUGAUUCACAAUAUUGUGUUAGUUUCAGGUUUACAGAAAAGCAGGUUAGUUUUAUUUUUCAGAUUACUUUCCAUUAUAGGUUAUUACAAGAUAUUGAAUAUAGUUCCCUGUGUUAUACAGUAAAUCCUUGUUGCUUAUCUAUUUUAUCUGUAGUUGUUCGUAUCUGUUACACUCAUACUCCUAAUUAAUCCUCCUUUGGUAAACAUAAGUUUGUUUUCUUUGUCUGUGAAUCCAUUUCUGUUUUGUGAAUAAAUUCAUUUGUAUUCCUUUUUAGAUUCCACAUAUAAGUGAAAUCAUAUAAUAGCUGCCUCUGUCUCACUUACUUCACUUAGUCUGAUAUUCUCUAGGCCAAUCCAUGUUUCUUUAAAUGCCAUUAUUUCAUCCUCUUUUAUGGCUGA
rnacentral:lncRNA from 1 species